GACGAACGCUGGCGGCGUGCUUAACACAUGCAAGUCGAACGGAAAGGCCAAGAGAUAGUGGGGUGCUCGAGUGGCGAAUGAGUGAGUAAAACAUAAGUAACCUGCCCUUGCCUGAGAGAACAAAUAAGGAAACUGGGGCUAAUACCGGAUAGGAGAGCGUGCUGCAUGGUGGGGGUUGGAAAGUUUCGGCGGUUGGGGAUGGACUCGCGGCUUAUCAGCUUGUUGGUGGGGUAGUGGCUUACCAAGGCUUUGACGGGUAGCCGGCCUGAGAGGGUGACCGGCCACAUUGGGACUGAGAGUCGUGCCAGACUCGUACGGGAGGCAGCAGUGGGGAAUAUUGCACAAUGGGCGGAAGCCUGUUGCAGCAACUCUGCGUGCGGGAUGACGGCCUUCGGGUUGUAAACUUCUUUCGCCUGUGACGAAGCGUGAGUGACGGUAAUGGGUAAAGAAGCACCGGCUAACUACGUG
rnacentral:rRNA from 1 species